UUACCAGAGUACUAUGAAUGUUAAAAAUUUAAAACUCAAAGAACUUGGCGGUGUUUUAGACCACUUAGGGGAACCUGUCUCGUAAUCGAUAGUCCACGUUGUAUCUGACCUUUUUUUGUUUUCAGUUUGUAUACCGUUGUCGUCAGGUAACUUUUUAGAGACUAGAAGUUAGCAAUAGAAAUGUGAUAAUUUAGUACGUCAAAUCAAGGUGCAGCUAAUAAGAAGGGGAGGAUGGGUUACAGUUAUGUGAUUUAUAAUACGGAAAAAUGCAUGAAAUAGCAUUAAUUUAAGGCGGACUUGAAAGUAAAUUAGAUUAUAUGAAUAAUUUGAAUGAGGCUCUGAAACGUGU
rnacentral:rRNA from 1 species